rnacentral:rRNA from 1 species
AUUGAACGCUGGCGGCAGGCCUAACACAUACAAGUCGAGCGCGAAAGUUCUUCGGAAUGAGUAAAGCGGCGGACGGGUGAGUAAUACAUGGGAAUCUGCCUGGUAGUGGGGGACAACGUUUCGAAAGGAACGCUAAUACCGCAUACGCCCUACGGGGGAAAGGGGGGGAUCUUCGGACCUCUCGCUAUCAGAUGAGCCCA